AUUGAACGCUGGCGUCAUGCCUUACACAUGCAAGUCGAACGUCAGCACGGGUGCUUGCACCUGGUGGCGAGUGGCGGACGGGUGAGUAAUACAUACGAUCGUACCUUAUCGUGGGGGUUACCGCAGCGAAAGCUGUGCUAAUACGGCACACGCCCUGAGGGGGAAAGCGGGGGACCGAAAGACCGUCCGCGAUCAGAGCGUCCGAUGCCUGCUUAGCGUGUUGGCGGGGUAAAAGCCCACCAAGGCGACGGUCAGUAGCUGGUCUGAGAGGACGAUCAGCCACACUGGGACGGAGACACGGCCCAGACUCCUACGGGAGGCAGCAGUGGGGAAUUUUGGACAAUGGGGGCAACCCUGAUCCAGCAAUGCCGCGUGAGUAAAGAAGGCCUUCGGGUUGUAAAGCUCUUUUGUCAGGGAAGAAACACCGGCUCUAACUCAUUCCGGGAAUGACGGUACAUGAAGAAGAAGCACCGGCUAACUACGUGCCAGCCGCCGCCGUAA
rnacentral:rRNA from 1 species